rnacentral:rRNA from 1 species
ACGCUCGACACCUACGGGGCAGCAGUGGGGAAUAUUGGGCAAUGGGCGCAAGCCUGACCCAGCAACGCCGCGUGAAGGAAGAAGGCUUUCGGGUUGUAAACUUCUUUUGUCAGGGAACAGUAGAAGAGGGUACCUGACGAAUAAGCUCCGGCUAACUACGUGCCAGUAGCCGCGGUAAUCUGAGCGGGCUGGCAAGGC